UAAAAACACAAGGUAACAUAGACCAGUAGGGUUUGGUCAGUAUGAUUGGGACCAGUGGACUGUAAACACAGGGUUUGAUUGGGACCAGUGGACUGUAAACACAGGGUUUGGUCAGUAUGAUUGGGACCAGUGGACUGUAAACACAGGGUUUGGUCAGUAUGAUUGGGACCAGUGGACUGUAAACACAGGGUUUGGUCAGUAUGAUUGGGACCAGUGGACUGUAAACACAGUUUGGUCAGUAUGAUUGGGACCAGUGGACUGUAAACACAGGGUUUUGGUCAGUAUGAUGGGACCAGUGGACUGUAAACACAUGGUUUGGUCAGUAUGAUUGGGACCAGUGGACGUAAACAC
rnacentral:lncRNA from 1 species